rnacentral:rRNA from 1 species
GAUGAACGCUGGCGGCGUGCUUAACACAUGCAAGUCGAACGGAAAGGCCCAAGCUUGCUUGGGUACUCGAGUGGCGAACGGGUGAGUAACACGUGGGUGAUCUGCCCUGCACUUCGGGAUAAGCCUGGGAAACUGGGUCUAAUACCGGAUAGGACGAUGGUUUGGAUGCCAUUGUGGAAAGUUUUUUCGGUGUGGGAUGAGCUCGCGGCCUAUCAGCUUGUUGGUGGGGUAAUGGCCUACCAAGGCGUCGACGGGUAGCCGGCCUGAGAGGGUGUACGGCCACAUUGGGACUGAGAUACGGCCCAGACUCCUACGGGAGGCAGCAGUGGGGAAUAUUGCACAAUGGGCGCAAGCCUGAUGCAGCGACGCCGCGGGGGGGAUGACGGCCUUCGGGUUGGAAACUCCUUUCGCUAGGGACGAAGCGUUUUUGUGACGGUACCUGGAGAAGAAGCACCGGCUAACUACGUG